rnacentral:lncRNA from 1 species
GCCGCACCUAUUCUUUCGUCCUCCCAGGUCGAGACAUUUGUUUUCGUCCUCCCGGUGUCCCAUUUUGCUUUCGCCUCUCCUCCCAAAAAUAUAUUACAAUCUCUCAUAUCCUUCGUAGCAUCAAUUUGCAUUGUGAAUCGCCCAGGAUUUAGCUUCAGACAUUUGUUUCAGUUCUUCGUCGCCGGUAGUCGUCGGGCCUGAAAAGAUAAAAAUUCCAAUUUUAUUUUGAUUCUGGCAUUCUUCUCACUGUGAUUCUGUUCUAUCGGACGCAGUUUUCUUGAUUUUUUCUGCGGAGAUUGUUGUGAUUCUAGGAC